rnacentral:misc_RNA from 1 species
ACAAACUUGGUCAUUUAGAGGAAGUAAAAGUCGUAACAAGGUUUCCGUAGGUGAACCUGCGGAAGGAUCAUUAAUGAAUAUAAAUCGUACUGUUCACGCAGUAUGUGGGGUGGUGACUUCGGUCCCGCUCAUUCAUAUCCAUAACACCUGUGCACUGUUGGAUGCUUGCAUCCACUUUUAAACUAAACAUUAUUGUAACAAAUGUAGUCUUAUUAUAACAUAAUAAAACUUUCAACAACGGAUCUCUUGGCUCUCGCAUCGAUGAAGAACGCAGC